CAUGGCCAGGACCCCACUGCGCUAGGUGCUGUAGAUUGUGAUUGCUAUUUAUUGGGUGUAUUAUAGUAGCCCCCAGGUGCCCCAGUCAUGGCCCAGGACCCCACUGCGCUAGGUGCUGUAUGUUGUCAUUGCUAUUUAUUAGGUGUAUUACAGUAGCCCCCAGGCGCCCCAGUCAUGGCCAGGACCCCACUGCGCUAGGCACUGUACAUUGUGAUUGCUAUUUAUUAGGUGUAUUAUGGUAGCCCCCAGGCACCCCAGUCAUGGCCAAGGACCCCACUGUGCUAGGUGCUGUAGAGCCAAAGAAAGAGACAGUCCCAGCCCCACACGAGCUUCCAGUCAAAUAAAACCUGGGACAACGGACAAAUAAUUCAGAGCCCAGGAAGCUCUGCUGAUUUUUACAUUUUGAACUGGCAGAGAUGGGGGCUGAAGCCGGCUGGAAAAACAGGUUUUUUGUGUGUGUGUGUGUGUGUGUGUGUGUGUGUGUGUGUGUGUGUGUGUGUGUGUGUGUGUGUGUGUGUGUGUGUGUGUGUGUGUGUGUGUGUGUGUGUGUGUGUGUGUGUGUGUGUGUGAGAGAGAGAGAGAGAGAGAGAGAGAGAGAGAGAGAGAGAGAGAGGACCAGUUUGCUGUAAUUUGUUCCAAGGAAAGGAAGGUUUUCCACUUUGGAGGGCAGGAUGAGCAGUCAAAACAGCCGUGCCAGAUUGGUCUCCAUUCAACCAGCUGAAACUCAGUCAAGACAAGAGCAAAGUCCGACGCUCAGGAAGGCAAAAAUAUCAGAUGCACCCCUCCCUAAUAGGGCAUCACUGGCUGGGGGGUCGUACCGCUGACAAGGAUCUGGGGGUGUCUGUGGAUGACAAAUUGAACAGGAGCCAACAAUGUGACGCAGCUGCCAAAAAGGCAAACCUCCUUCUGGGGUGUAGUAAUGGGGGUGUCGUAUAGGACAGGGGUUCUCAACCUUUUUCAUUCUGAGCCCCCUGCCCCCAGCAUGCUAUAAAAACUCCACAACCCAGCUGUGUCACAACAACUGGUUUUCGGCAUCUAAAAGCCAGGGCCGGCGUUAGGGGGCAGCAAGCCGGGCAAUUGCUCAGGGCCCCAGGCUAGAAGUGGCAUCGCAACGCUAAAUUGCUCAGGCUUCAACGUCAGCUCCAGGGAUUGUAGUUCCUGGCCUGCACUGCCUCAUUUCACCACUAGAGGCCACUCUAAGACUAAUUGAUGGCCCCACCCACUAGAGUUGAAAAUACCUCCCACAAAAUCAAUUAAAACUUUCCAAAGUC